UAUGGCCAUAUCAUGUUGAAACACCAGUUCCCGUACACUCACCAAAGUAACAUUGAGCCUGGUCAGUAUUUAGAUGGUUGACCACUUGGGAAUACCAGGUGCUGUAAG